rnacentral:rRNA from 1 species
AUCUGGUUGAUUCUGCCAGUAGUCAUACGCUCGUCUCAAAGAUUAAGCCAUGCAUGUCUAAGUAUAAAUCUUUUACUUUGAAACUGCGAACGGCUCAUUAUAUCAGUUAUAAUUUAUUUGAUAGUCCCUUACUACUUGGAUAACCGUAGUAAUUCUAGAGCUAAUACAUGCGCCCAAACCCGACUCCGUGGAAGGGUUGUGUUUAUUAGUUACAGAACCAACCCAGGCUCUGCCUGGUCUUGUGGUGAUUCAUAAUAACCGAAUGAAUCGCAUUGCAUCAGCUGGCGAUGAAUCAUUCAAGUUUCUGACCUAUCAGCUUCCGACGGUAGUGUAUUGGACUACCGUGGCAAUGACGGG